CGCGCCCUACGGGGGGCAGCAGUCGAGAAUCAUUCACAAUGGGGGAAACCCUGAUGCAGCGACGCCGCGUGAGUGAAGAAGUAUUUCGGUAUGUAAAGCUCUAUCAGCAGGGAAGAAGAAAGACGGUACCUGACUAAGAAGCCCCGGCUAACUACGUGCCAGCAGCCGCGGUAAUACGUAGGGGGCAAGCGUUAUCCGGAUUUACUGGGUGUAAAGGGAGCGUAGACGGCUGUGCAAGUCUGAAGUGAAAGCCCAGGGCUCAACCCUGGGACUGCUUUGGAAACUGUGGAGCUAGAGUGCUGGAG
rnacentral:rRNA from 1 species